GGUGGUUUGGCUCAAUAGUUAGAGCGUAGUUGUUGUAACCGAAAGGUCGCGGGAUCGAAUCACGCUAUAAGCU
rnacentral:tRNA from 1 species